UACGUAUGGUGCAAGCGUUAUCCGGAUUUACUGGGUGUAAAGGGAGCGCAGGCGGCACGGCAAGCCUGAUGUGAAAGCCCGCGGCCCAACCGCGGGACUGCAUUGGGAACUACCGGGCUGGAGUGCCGGAGAGGUAGGCGGAAUUCCUAGUGUAGCGGUGAAAUGCGUAGAUAUUAGGAGGAACACCAGUGGCGAAGGCGGCCUACUGGACGGCGACUGACGCUGAGGCUCGAAAGCGUGGGGAGCAAACAGG
rnacentral:rRNA from 1 species